rnacentral:rRNA from 1 species
UUAAAUUGAAGAGUUUGAUCAUGGCUCAGAUUGAACGCUGGCGGCAGGCCUAACACAUGCAAGUCGAACGGUAACAGGAAGCAGCUUGCUGCUUCGCUGACGAGUGGCGGACGGGUGAGUAAUGUCUGGGAAACUGCCUGAUGGAGGGGGAUAACUACUGGAAACGGUAGCUAAUACCGCAUAACGUCGCAAGACCAAAGAGGGGGACCUUCGGGCCUCUUGCCAUCGGAUGUGCCCAGAUGGGAUUAGCUUGUUGGUGGGGUAACGGCUCACCAAGGCGACGAUCCCUAGCUGGUCUGAGAGGAUGACCA